rnacentral:piRNA from 1 species
UGAUUGGGAGCAGGAGAUUCUGUUG